rnacentral:rRNA from 1 species
UUGUUCCUACUGGGCGCAGCAGUGAGGAAUAUUGGUCAAUGGGCGGUAGCCUGAACCAGCCAAGUAGCGUGAAGGGUGAAGGUUUUAUGGAUUGUAAACUUCUUUUAUAAAGGAAUAAAGUGAGGCACGUGUGCCUUUUUGUAUGUACUUUAUGAAUAAGGAUCGGCUAACUCCGUGCCAGCAGCCGCGGUAAUACGGAGGAUCCGAGCGUUAUCCGGAUUUAUUGGGUUUAAAGGGAGCGUAGCUGGGGUGUUAAGUCAGUUGUGAAAGUUUGCGGCUCAACCGUAAAAUUGCAAUUGAUACUG